CUGUACAGAAAACGAUAUCGAAAACUACAUAAUGUCAUAUAGCCUUAAUACUAUUGUACAUAUCUAUAAAAAUGGGAACAGGAUAGUGCCUACACCUCUAAUUUAUGGAUCACUUAUCAAUAUAUUAUUUCACAAAUCUAUGGAAAUAACAAAAUAUCAUGAAAGAGAAACAGCGGAAUGUAUUUGAAAGAAUAACCAUUUCUCUCCAUAGAGUUGAUAUAAAAGAUAUAGAGAACGAGAAAGCCUACAGACGAAAACAGAAAUGGCACGGCUUCUCUCGAUUUGUUCGGCAGUUUUUAAGGAUAAAUAUUAUGGAGGGUAGACAUGUGAAGUAUCUCUCAUAUGGGAUAAAACUGAGAAGUGUCCAGCAGUACGAUAAAUAACAGUUCAAAAAGCUUCCAGAAUAGCGCAAGUGUAGACAAAGGAUGUGGUAUGAAUGUAGCAAUUGUAGAUGAAUUAUACAGAGUUAAAAAAUU